rnacentral:rRNA from 1 species
UACGAAGGGGGCUAGCGUUGUUCGGAAUCACUGGGCGUAAGCGCACGUAGGCGGAUCGUUAAGUCGCGUGUGAAAUCCCUUGGCUCAACCAAGGAAGUGCGCGCGAAACUGGCGAGCUCGAGUGCCGGAGAGGGUCGCGGAAUUCCCGGUGUAGAGGUGAAAUUCGUAGAUAUCGGGAGGAACACCAGUGGCGAAGGCGGCGACCUGGACGGACACUGACGCUGAGACGCGAAAGCGUGGGGAGCAAACAGG